rnacentral:rRNA from 1 species
GUUGAACGCUGGCGGCAUGCUUUACACAUGCAAGUCGAACGGUAACAGGCCGCAAGGUGCUGACGAGUGGCGAACGGGUGCGUUAUGCAUCGGAACGUGCCCAGUCGUGGGGGAUAACGCAGCGAAAGCUGCGCUAAUACCGCAUACGAUCUAUGGAUGAAAGCGGGGGACCGUAAGGCCUCGCGCGAUUGGAGCGGCCGAUGUCAGAUUAGGUAGUUGGUGAGGUAAAGGCUCACCAAGCCAACGAUCUGUAGCUGGUCUGAGAGGACGACCAGCAACACCAGAACGGAGGCACGGCCGAGGAUACUAAGGGAGGAAGCAGUGGGGAAUUUUGGACAAUGGGGGCAAGCCUGAUCCAGCAUUGCCGCGUGCAGGAAGAAGGCCUUCGGGUUGUAAACUGCUUUUGUACGGAACGAAACGGUCCUGGUUAAUACCUGGGGCUAAUGACGGUACCGUAAGAAUAAGCACCGGCUAACUACGUGCCAGCAGCCGCGGUAAAAC